CAAAGCGAGGCCACCGGCAACGGGAGCUAAUCGCAAAAGGUGGGCCCAGUUCGGAUUGGGGUCUGCAACCCGACCCCAUGAAGCCGGAAUCGCUAGUAAUCGCGGAUCAGCCAUGCCGCGGUGAAUACGUUCCCGGGCCUU
rnacentral:rRNA from 1 species